AUACUUACCUGGCAGGGGCGACUCCAUGAUCCUGUAGGUGGAUCGCCCAGGGUGAGGAUCAGCCAUUGCACUGCGGCGAUCUGACCUCUGUGAAUUCUCCACAUGGGAGAAUCUCAACUGCACAAUUUUAUGGUAGUGGGGGACUGCGUUCGCGCUCUCCCCUG